rnacentral:rRNA from 1 species
UCGGGAAUAUUGCGCAAUGGAGGAAACUCUGACGCAGUGACGCCGCGUGCAGGAAGAAGGUUUUCGGAUUGUAAACUGCUUUAGACAGGGAAGAAAAAAGACAGUACCUGUAGAAUAAGCUCCGGCUAACUACGUGCCAGCAGCCGCGGUAAUACGUAGGGAGCAAGCGUUAUCCGGAUUUAUUGGGUGUAAAGGGUGCGUAGACGGAGAAGCAAGUUAGUUGUGAAAUCCCUCGGCUUAACCGAGGAACUGCGACUAAAACUACUUCCCUUGAGUGCUGGAGAGGAAAGUGGAAUUCCUAGUGUAGCGGUGAAAUGCGUAGAUAUUAGGAGGAACACCAGUGGCGAAGGCGACUUUCUGGACAGUAACUGACGUUGAGGCACGAAAGUGUGGGGAGCAAACAGGAUUAGAUACC